rnacentral:rRNA from 1 species
AUUGAACGCUAGCGGGAUGCCUUACACAUGCAAGUCGAACGGAGUGGCGAACGGGUGAGUAAUGUAUCUGAACGUGCCCAUUCGCGGGGGAUAACUACGCGAAAGCGUAGCUAAUACCGCAUACUAUUGGAGCGGCCGGUAUCGGAUUAGCUAGUGGGUGGGGUAACGGCUCACCAAGGCGACGAUCCGUAGCUGGUGUGAGAGGAUGACCAGCCACACUGGGACUGAGACACGGCCCAGACUCCUACGGGAGGCAGCAGUGGGGAAUUUUGCACAAUGGGGGAAACCCUGAUGCAGCCAUCCCGCGUGUGUGAUGAAGGCCUUCGGGUUGUAAAGCACUUUUGGCAGGAAAGCGGUACCUGCAGAAUAAGCACCGGCUAACUACGUGCCAGCAGCCGCGGUAAUAC